rnacentral:lncRNA from 1 species
GAUUGUUCUUAUUUCUGUCUCCAAACAAAUCCUUCAUUUCCUUGGCCCUUAUCCUCAUCGAUUCACCCGAGUCGUCCACCAUUGCCAACCUUACAAACUCAGCCACCGAGUCACGAGUAAACGACCCAUCUCGUUCGUUCCUAGGUAUUUCCACCCCGAGCCCCUUUCCAUUCCCCAAUCGAGCAUUAAGCCCUUGGUCGUUCACCAUCGGAAAAAACAUCAAAACCCGUCCGAACAUGAGCCCUUCGAUCAUUGAGUUCCAACCGCAGUGAGUCAAGAAUCCCCCCACCGAGUCAUGACUCAGUAUGCGCACCUGCGGAGCCCACCCCAAGUCCACCACACCUCGACCCUUGACUCGUUCCAAAAACCCUGGAGGAAGCAUCUCAGACACUGACUGAGUCGACUCGGGCGGGUUUCUCAACACCCAAAAGAAGGGUACCCCGGACAGCUCCAACCCGAGAGCCAGCUCGGUGAGUUCCUCCUGACUCAGUGUCGCUUCGGUCCCGAGUGCAAUGUAAACCACCGAGUUGACUCGUUGCUUGUCCAACCACCCUUUAAUGCCACCCCAUGUUUCAUCAAAUUCACUUGCCUCCUCUUCUAUGUUAGGCGGUAAAAAUCCAACCGGAACAACGGGUUUUACUUUUACCUCGCGGUAAAGCUCUCUCACCAAAUUUAACCACUCGGGCUCAAACUCGUCAGAGCUUCUAACAAACACAACGUCGCUCUCCUCAAUCGCAACCCCAAAACGCACCGUAUCGGGAGUGCCCGACUCGUUCCCGCUUGAUGCUUGCACCCACUUGGCAACCUCGUGGAGCCGAUAUGCCAUGUCGGACUCGAACGGGACCCACUUGGGGACCACCGUGAAAUCCUCGGCCUUGGUCCUCCCAUCCUGGCCGCUGAUCAGAACCGACGGCGGACCGAGGUAGGCCAGGCAGGCGGCGUUGACACAGAAAAAGAAGGCGUGUGCGACGCCGAGCCUGGCGGCUAUGGCGGGAAGCCAGUGAGGGGCAUAGUCGUAAAUAACCCAGUCGGGUCUUGAGGACUCCAGGAAAGCGGUCAGCGGGGUUUGUAGCAUGUCGAAGGCCGUUUUGAGUAGUUGCUGCUUGUGGAAGGGGACGUCGGUUGAUGAUUCGGCGUCGUUUGGGAGGUUAGGGAGGCGGGGGAGAGGGAAGGAGACGAGGUUGACGAGGGAGGAGAGGUGGGAGGGUAUUUUGGGAAGUCUGGAGAGGUUCCUUGGGGUGGAGACGAAGGAGACGGUGUGACCCCUUUGAGCUAUGAGGGUGGAAAGGUGGAAGAAGGGGAUGAGGUGGCCCAUGGCCAGCCAUGGAAACACCACCACGUGAAGAACAGCUCCUCCGCCUCCUCCUCCUUGGCCUCCACUCUGAGUGUUCUGGUUGUCCAUGGAGAUUGACCUGUGUCCACUCUGAGUCACAGAGCAGAGGAUAGGGGAGGUGGAAUAUAUGGACGGAUUUAGAAAGAGUAAGCAAGUCUUGACCUUUUCUGUGUUGCCAACUCAAGUACAAUCAAAGUGGAAAAUUAGAGGAAGUUUGAAAAUUAUUCUUACAAAAAGUCAUCUGAUUUACAGACCGAUUGGUUAUUUUAGUGUAUCAAAUAAAUUAAUUGUAUAGGUACUAAAUAAUAUAUUAUUAAUCAUAAAUCAUUUAUUUAUUUGAUAUAGUUGAAUGACGAAAUUGGUCUUUAUUGAAAUUAUUUUUUUGUUUGAAUGAUCUUCAAAUGAAUAUUAAGAAAUUUAAUAAUAAUUAUAAUUUUUUUACAGUAUUGAUGUGUUAUUUGUAAGUGGAGCAAUGCAAGUCUUAAUUUUAUUUUUGGUAUCUAAAUGUAAGUUUUAUUCAUUUGUUGUAUAUUAUCUUGCAAUACCUAUACCACUUGGACUUCUAAGUCUUCCAAGCUGUAGGAAUCAUUGAAAUCAUAAAGUUUAACCCUAAUCUCAAUGACAGGUAAUAUCAUCACAUGAUAUGGGUAGGAGAUUAUAUCUCUGCAAUGUUACUUCAAGUUAUCAUAAUUUAGUUGUUCAUUUUGAACCUAGAUUUUGAGAUCUCUAGUCAACUAGGUUGGAUUUUCACUGUACUACUCUAAGACCUAGUUUGGGACUGAGGUGCUUAAAAAAAAAGCACCCAUGAAAAAAAGCUGUGAGGGUUUUAGGUGUUUGGUAAACUGAAAAAAAAUGGCUUAUUUUGGAAGCUGCUGUGAGAAUAAGCUGAAAUCAAAGGAAAAAACUGAAGCUGGUAUUUGCAGCUUUGGAAAACUGGUUUUUUUUUCAAAGCACACGGAGCUACAGUGUUUCUUUAAUGAAAAGACCCAUUAUUAGACUGCUUUUUUUUUCCAAAAGCACUUUUACAAAAAAGUUUACCAAACACUCUGCUGAUUUAUUUCACAGCCGCUUAUUCUCACAGCACAACCGCUUAUUCUCACAGCAGCUUUUUUUCAAAGCACAGCAAUAUCAAACCAGCCCUAAGUAUAGGCUUUUAACUUGUUCCCUUAGUUGAUGCAACUUCCUCUAAUCAAUCUUUUAAUAAUUGGUACUGCUAGGUUGACUACUUAUACACACUAUAUAGGGCCAUCACAAAACCUAUCAAUGCAUGGAAAUAAAUUUCGUUUGAGAGUAGUUGUUUUUCUACGUUAAGUCCUCCAGACUUAUAUUAGGGCUUAAUUACUAAGUAAUUUGCCAACACUUGGGUAAAUUUUCCCCACAUUUGAGGUAUUCAAGAGCUUAAAAAUAUCAUCGUAAGAGAUAAUAUUUACCGCUUUUUAAAAGCAAAUUACUUUUUCAUUCUUCUUAAGUUGACAUAUAAUCCAACAUUUUUGGAAAAAUGGUGUGCGUCUCUUUCCCUCGUGCAUUUGUUCGGAUUUGAAACAGUCAUAGAGACAACUAAAUUAAAAUUGACACAUGAUAUAAUAUGUGAAAUUGGUUUGUCAAACAAAGAGACAACCAAAUAAUUAAUUUGUCAGCAUGAAUCAUAAUUCAUAUGUAAAAUGGAAAUACCAAUCAAUUCUACGAUAAGAAUACGAUUCAUUAGACGAGCAAAAACAAAAUAUAGUCAUGCAAUUCAAUAUAUGAUCUCUUUGAAUCUUCAAAGUAAUGCAUGCACAUGAAUAACCAAUGUUAAAUGAACAUGACAUAAUGAAUUAGAAAAAACUUGGAAAUAUGGUCGAGGUAAAUGUUACAUAUUAUGUCUUUAAGACAAGUUUACGCCAUACUAUACUAUGCUCAUGGUUAAUCGGCGUUUGUCUUGCAGCAUACGACGACCACGUCUAUGCAAUAAUUGCAAUCCAAAUCGUAAGGCUCUAAUGAACCACAAUUGUGUGGAGUACUCUCUUAGAUGGACUCAAUACAUAGGACACUACAAAACUCUCUAACAAUAGUGCACUAUGUGUACGAAUAUGUGAAUGUAAAAGAUUUUUAGUGACGGUAGGGGACUUCCCUAUUUAUAGAAAUUGAGAUGUUUGCUUAAAAAAUAUGUGACUAUUCAUGAAUAGUCAAAAUUUAUGUGCUUUUACAUAAGUUGUAAACUUUGAAAUGCGGUUGAUUCUAAACCCUCGUUACAAAAUUCUGAUGUAUUUUCCUUUCUUUAACUUGCAUCAUGGACUCUUGCAAACAAUUGUUCACCCUUUUUCGGAUGGCUUUCAUGCAUAAUUCUAAUAAUACUUGUCUUUCGAAUGUUUUACCAAAUUUCAUAUUAUUUCAAAAUACACAUUUUUGUUGCAAUUUGUGACAUAAACUUGCCUAGUAAAUUUAUGUUGUAAACCUCGGUGGCCUAUUCUCCUCAAGAAAACAUAGGAAUUCAUCCACCAUCCGACUGUUCUUAUUUCUACCUCCAAACAAAUCCCUCAUUUCCUUAGCCCUAGUCCUUAACGAUUCACCCGAGUCAUCCACCAUUGCCAACCUUACUAGCUCAGCCACCGAGUCACCCGCAAACGACCCGUCUCGCUCGUUCCUAGGUAUUUCCACCCCGAGCCCCUUCCCGUUCCCCAAUCGAGCAUUAAGCCCUUGGUCGUUCACCAUCGGAAAAAACAUCAAAACCCGUCCGAACACGAGCCCUUCGAUCAUUGAGUUCCAACCGCAGUGAGUCAAGAAUCCCC